UACGUAGGGUGCGAGCGUUGUCCGGAAUUACUGGGCGUAAAGAGCUCGUAGGUGGUUUGUCGCGUUGUUCGUGAAAUCUCACGGCUUAACUGUGAGCGUGCGGGCGAUACGGGCAGACUAGAGUACUGCAGGGGAGACUGGAAUUCCUGGUGUAGCGGUGGAAUGCGCAGAUAUCAGGAGGAACACCGGUGGCGAAGGCGGGUCUCUGGACAUUUCCUGACGCUGAGGCACGAAAGCCAGGGGAGCAAACGGG
rnacentral:rRNA from 1 species